CCACGCCCGUCUUCCUCGCCCACCCAUGCCCGUCAUCUCGGCCACCUCCCGGAGGCCGGAGUCCCCGUCCCUGCGGUCGCGCCGUCCCCUCCAUCUCCCCUGUGCGCAACCAAACUGGUGCCGCACGCAGCUGCCGCACGUCCUUCCGGCCCGGCUUCUCCACCCUCCUCCAGCCAGCUACUCCAACCAAGGCGCGGCAGCCGGAUCCAAUCUAUAUGGCGUGAUGGCGACCAAAUCCAUGACGGGAAAGAGACCCAGUGGUUCCCGCCGUCUCAAGCAGCCGCCGGCCAUCCGCAACAGCCCCAGGAUUGACGGCGUCUUCCAGGCUGCCGCACAGUCGCUGCUAUUCCCGUGCGGAUCCACUGAGUUGACGAUGUUGAAUCAGCUGUGGCUUCCGGACCAAUCAUGGAGUUAUGGAGGACGCCCCCUUUCAUUGUGGAGAUGGUUUCAGUUACGCUACAAGGGAUUUCAUUUCUUGCUGAAAAAUUCUGUCAGUCCUUCCUGAUUUGCACGUGUUAAUGUAACUGCUGAACAUCAGUUCUCUCUCAUCAUCCAUUGUGCAGGUAUAAGGACAUACAUAGGACAUGGCAGUUGUCUAAUGAGUAGUGUGUGAUCUUCAGAGAAAAACAAGUGAAUAUGGCUGUAAGUCACGCCUCUUCAAGGGCGGAUUGUAUUACCAAUAGAUAAGAUAUACAAGCCUUGAGAAUCAAGGAAAAUCAGGACAUUCCCAACCGAAUUUAUACACAAGUGAUUCGAUGGGAUAUCUGGUCACUUUCCUAUACAAAGUCUAUGAACAAAAGGAAUACUUUAACAUUCAGUGAGUCCUACUAGGAUGGAAGACGCUGCAAUAAUGUUUGAGUAAUGGAUGUUGGUUGCCUUUUUGAGAAACCACACAAGCUCUCAGCAGCAGAUCAUUGUCCCCAUGCCAAACCAUGUGCUGCUACAAGCCUACAAGCCGUGGGCCUUUUAUGAGUGUCAACACAGCAUCAUCUAAGCAUGGAUCAAAAUGGAUACUCCAAGGCUACAAUGACAAUUGCAAUCCCGGACGUACAUCUCCGAUGACAAUCUUGUCCCAACAUAAGCAUCGACUGAAGAGAAGGUAGCUCAGGCCACACUAUCCUAACUUUGUGAUCAUCGCUCCAUAUACCACAACCACAAGGCGCUCAACACAAUAACCCGCAGCUGCUCCACAGCUCGAGAAUUGGCAAGGACGUAAGAAUGGUAACUCAAUAUGUCUCGGUUGGAAACUUCAAGUCUUAAGUUUGUUAAUGAGAGCAAUAUAAUGCAAAAUUCUGAGGAGUCUGACGUGUAAGCGAAACAGGUGUAUGUCUAUCCAUCCGCUGGAAACCAUAUUUAAGUGUUGUAGAAGCUCUAAAUAAUUAGUUUUUUCUUGCUUUCAAGGGUCAUUUUAUUUCAGGAUUCACUGAAGUAAUCAAGUAAUGUGGAGUAGUUGCUCAUUCAAAUUUUAUAUUUUCUUAAUCAUUACCCAUCCUUAUUAGUGCUGUACUACCUCAGUACCUUUUUUGGAGUAUCAAUUUCUGUCAUUCUGAUGUA